GUUAGGGAACAUAGGAUUUUGAAUGGGAAUAAAUUGUUUGGUCCCCACAAGGAUAGUAAAACAAACGUGUGUGUGUAAAUAUUGUAUAUCAACGCUGUAGUUGGUGGACUUCUGAGUUAAAUCUGUAUGCUUUUUGAUUGACUGAUGCAUCUCCAGCUUUGUUCAAGCGCUAAAUCCAUCUAUCCAUGUUGGACAUCUGUGUGUCCUCGGCUUAAAGCCACAUGUCCUCUGCUACUGUGUGUAUGUACAAACUUGCAUGUGUGUAUGAAACUUCUCUUUUUUUGUGCUCAACUUUGUGUUCUUAAUGUAUUCUUCUACUAGAAGAAGAGAAAAUAUAGAUUUUUGGAAGAAAGAAAAAAAGUGAAUGUAUCUCUCUUGUCAGUUUUUGUUUGGCCAUUUUUUAAAAGUGAACAAUGGUGUGGGCUCAGAUUAACAAAGGUGUUGGCUCAGAUUAACACAGGUGUGGGCUCAGAUUAACAAAGAUGUGUACAUUAUUGUGAAGGGCAUGCCAAUCGUGGGAUGACUGUAUGUACAGAGGUCUAUAAAUAUGAAGCUGUAUAGAGAAAUAUUUGCCAAAUGAUGCCCUGUGAAUAUUGUUUUAAUUAAAGGGGAAUGGCUGGAAUUGCAAAUAGUGCUGCUUAUGAGCGUCAAGUAUAUGAAAUAAAGAUUUAUGUUCUCUA